rnacentral:sRNA from 1 species
CCGACGAAAUCCAAAACUAAGCAUUCAAUGCUUAUAUUUCUAUUUUAAUACUAAUGUCGAUUUGUAUGAAAUGCUGUGUAUCGCCGCUAUAAAGCAAUUAUUUACGCUCUUUGUCAGGAAUAUGGAACAGCCAUGCAUAUUAACAUGUUAUGUAUUUAGCUUCCGCGACAAAAAAUAUAGUGCCAGAAACCUUAAGGAAAUUUUUUUUAUCAAGGAUAGAUAUAUAUUAAUGACUGUUUUUUAAAGUACAUAUCAAAUUGGUUAUGUAAAAUUGAAAGUUUCAUUUAAUCGUAAAGAAAUAAAUAUGCUCAAAACACGUGGAAACGUUUAUAUUUGAGCUUAAGGUGCAUAAAUUAGCAAAGUGUAUUUAUAGAAAAUUAAAUGUUGCAGCUUUCCAAUAAAAAUGUAAGGAGUAAUAUCCCCUGAAUGUAAAUAUUAUCUUAAUUAAAAUGUGCUUGAUAAUUUUUAUGUGGUUUAAGAAACAUUACUUAUUUUUGCAUUAAUUCAAAUUACGCUUGCCGUAUUACUAUACUUUAAAUAUUAAAAAGGGAUAAAAAAAAAUUUACGCACUUUUUUGUUUUGAUUUAUACAAGCUACAUUGUGUGAAGGCAACUACGAUGCAUCAUUGCAGAACAAAAUCUUCAUCCUGCUUGAGCAAGCGAGUCAUUUUCUUUUGGCAAUCGUAACUCACAAAUCAUCAACGUGUAUGUGUUUUCAUAUAUCUUUUAUAAUAUGUAUGAAUAUUACUCUAAUUGCGUUAUUCAUCUAGAUCUUAUGUUAUGUAAUGUGAAAUUAAAAAUGCUUCCAAGCAACAAUG